rnacentral:rRNA from 1 species
CUUUCUGAAGUUUGACCUCGAAUCAGGUAGGAUUACCCGCUGAACUUAAGCAUAUCAAUAAGCGGAGGAAAAGAAACCAACAGGGAUUGCCCUAGUAACGGCGAGUGAAGCGGCAACAGCUCAAAUUUGAAAUCUGGCCCUCGGGUCCGAGUUGUAAUUUGUAGAGGAUGCUUUUGGUGAGGUACCUUCCGAGUUCCCUGGAACGGGACGCCAUAGAGGGUGAGAGCCCCGUCUGGUUGGAUACCGAUCCUCUGUAAAGCUCCUUCAACGAGUCGAGUAGUUUGGGAAUGCUGCUCUAAAUGGGAGGUAUAUGUCUUCUAAAGCUAAAUAUUGGCCAGAGACCGAUAGCGCACAAGUAGAGUGAUCGAAAGAUGAAAAGCACUUUGAAAAGAGAGUUAAAAAGUACGUGAAAUUGUUGAAAGGGAAGCGCUUAUGACCAGACUUGGACUUGGUUGAUCAUCCUGGGUUCUCCCUGGUGCACUCUUCCAGUUCAGGCCAGCAUCAGUUCAUCGCGGGGGAUAAAGGCUUUAGGAAUGUGGCUCCUUCGGGAGUGUUAUAACCUAUUGUGUAAUACCCUGCUUUGGACUGAGGUUCGCGCAUCUGCAAGGAUGCUGGCGUAAUGGUCAUCAGCGACCCGUCUUGAAACACGGACCAAGGAGUCGUCUUCGUAUGCGAGUGUUCGGGUGUUAAACCCCUACGCGUAAUGAAAGUGAACGCAGGUGAGAGCUUCGGCGCAUCAUCGACCGAUCCUGAUGUUCUCGGAUGGAUUUGAGUAAGAGCAUACGGGGCCGGACCCGAAAGAAGGUGAACUAUGCCUGUAUAGGGUGAAGCCAGAGGAAACUCUGGUGGAGGCUCGCAGCGGUUCUGACGUGCAAAUCGAUCGUCAAAUAUGGGCAUGGGGGCGAAAGACUAAUCGAACCUUCUAGUAGCUGGUUUCCGCCGAGUUUCCCUCAGA